UACGGAGGGUGCAAGCGUUAUCCGGAUUCACUGGGUUUAAAGGGUGCGUAGGUGGGUUGGUAAGUCAGUGGUGAAAUCUCCGAGCUUAACUUGGAAACUGCCAUUGAUACUAUCAGUCUUGAAUACCGUGGAGGUCAGCGGAAUAUGUCAUGUAGCGGUGAAAUGCUUAGAUAUGACAUAGAACACCAAUUGCGAAGGCAGCUGGCUACACGAAUAUUGACACUGAGGCACGAAAGCGUGGGGAUCAAACAGG
rnacentral:rRNA from 1 species